rnacentral:rRNA from 1 species
UACGAAGGGGGCUAGCGUUGUUCGGAUUUACUGGGCGUAAAGCGCACGUAGGCGGAUCGUUAAGUCGGGGGUGAAAUCCUGGAGCUCAACUUCGGAACUGCCUUUGAUACAGCACGUCUUGAGUCCGGUAGGGGAGCGUGGAAUUCCUGGUGUAGCGGUGAAAUGCGCAGAUAUCAAGGAGGAACACCAGCGGCGAAGGCGGCGCUCUGGGCCGGUGACUGACACUGAGGAGCGAAAGCGUGGGUAGCAAACAGG